ensembl:miRNA microRNA 7227
UCUGAUGACUUUUUCAUUGAAAAAUAUUUGAUAUUUCUCUGAAAAGGGUCAUAGGCAGA